UAACGGCUAUCUCUCUCUCUCUGCUUUCUCGUCCUCUCCCCUUCUCUCAUCUUCUUCGUCUUCCUCAAAAUCGCCGAUUCACGGCCAUCUUCUUCUCCUAUCCCUAACAGCGCCGGAUUUCUCAACUGUCGAUCGAGUGACAAUCGUGCCUGCCUGCUUGACAAAGCCUUUUCGGUCUACCAAUAAAGGAAAAACGAUUGCUGGUGACACGAAAGCUGUGCUCAACGCUCUUUUUCCUAUUCCACUGCACGUCGUGGUCUUUCCCUUGCUGGUUGGAUGACUACUAUGGACGAAGAGCACAACUACUUCCAGUCUCUGGUCGAUAAGUACCCAAGGAAGAGUUGCAGUGGGUAAAUCUUAAUGGCUGGCAGAAAAUUGGUUCGGGAUAUAUUACUCUCAAGACAAAGUAUUUUUUAUCAGUUUACUUCCCAUGGGGUAUUUGCUCUUCCUA